AUGCAAACCUGAUCACUUACUGCAUAAUGUUGCCGAAGUGAGGGGAAUGAGGUUUACUGAAGUAAUUGUAGCGAUAGAAAUGUAUUAGUCUUAGGAGCUACUGAGGUGUUCAUUAUAGCCUACUAUGGAC